rnacentral:rRNA from 1 species
AUUGAACGCUGGCGGCAGGCCUAACACAUGCAAGUCGAACGAGUGGCGGACGGGUGAGUAAUGCCUGGGAAUCUAGCCGAUGGAGGGGGAUAACUACGGGAAACUGUAGCUAAUACCGCGUACCAUCGGAUGUGCCCAAGUGGGAUUAGGUAGUUGGUGAGGUAACGGCUCACCAAGGCGACGAUCCCUAGCUGGUCUGAGAGGAUGACCAGCCAAACUGGAAUGGAGACACGGCCUAGACUCCUACGGGAGGCAGCAGUGGGGAAUAUUGCACAAGGGGUGAAAGCCUGAUGCAGCCAUGCCGCGUGAAUGAAGAAGGCCUUCGGGUUGUAAAGUACUUUCAGAGAGGAGGCGUUAACUGAAGAAGAAGCACCGGCUAACUCCGUGCCAGCCGACGCGGUAAUAC